AACGAACGCUGGCGGCAUGCCUAACACAUGCAAGUCGAACGAGACCUUCGGGUCUAGUGGCGCACGGGUGCGUAACGCGUGGGAACCUGCCCUUAGGUUCGGAAUAACUCCCCGAAAGGGGUGCUAAUACCGGAUAAUGUCUUCGGACCAAAGAUUUAUCGCCUUUGGAUAGGCCCGCGUUGGAUUAGCUAGUUGGUAGGGUAAAAGCCUACCAAGGCGACGAUCCAUAGCUGGUCUGAGAGGAUGAUCAGCCACACUGGGACUGAGACACGGCCCAGACUCCUACGGGAGGCAGCAGUGGGGAAUAUUGGACAAUGGGCGAAAGCCUGAUCCAGCAAUGCCGCGUGAGUGAUGAAGGCCUUAGGGUUGUAAAGCUCUUUUACCCGGGAUGAUAAUGGCAGUACCGGGAGAAUAAGCUCCGGCUAACUCCGUG
rnacentral:rRNA from 1 species